UUUGUUACACAAGCGCCAGAGCUUGGUCUUGCGCGGGAGAAAAGGGAAAGCCAAUGAUUGCCUGUCAAGGCUAGGCUGAACCGGAUCACGGCAGAUGUAAGCUGACGAGGUGGAGGUGUUCGAAAUGUUCGGCGGGGACCUCCCGGUGAUGCACCAGAGCCGUAAACGAAAGCGGAAAAUGGAAGGGCGACCUUUCACACAACGCUCUCGUGGGUGCAGCA
rnacentral:ncRNA from 1 species